rnacentral:rRNA from 1 species
UCAACCNUUGUAGGCUUUGGAAACUGUUUAACUUGAGUGCAGAAGGGGAGAGUGGAAUUCCAUGUGUAGCGGUGAAAUGCGUAGAUAUAUGGAGGAACACCGGUGGCGAAAGCGGCUCUCUGGUCUGUAACUGACGCUGAGGCUCGAAAGCGUGGGGAGCGAACAGGAUUAGAUACCCUGGUAGUCCACGCCGUAAACGAUGAGUGCUAGGUGUUAGGUCCUUUCCGGGACUUAGUGCCGCAGCUAACGCAUUAAGCACUCCGCCUGGGGAGUACGACCGCAAGGUUGAAACUCAAAGGAAUUGACGGGGGCCCGCACAAGCGGUGGAGCAUGUGGUUUAAUUCGAAGCAACGCGAAGAACCUUACCAGGUCUUGACAUCCCGAUGCCCGCUCUAGAGAUAGAGCUUUACUUCGGUACAUCGGUGACAGGUGGUGCAUGGUUGUCGUCAGCUCGUGUCGUGAGAUGUUGGGUUAAGUCCCGCAACGAGCGCAACCCUUAUUGUUAGUUGCCAUCAUUGAGUUGGGCACUCUAGCGAGACUGCCGGUAAUAAACCGGAGGAAGGUGGGGAUGACGUCAAAUCAUCAUGCCCCUUAUGACCUGGGCUACACACGUGCUACAAUGGCUGGUACAACGAGUCGCAAGCCGGUGACGGCAAGCUAAUCUCUGAAAGCCAGUCUCAGUUCGGAUUGUAGGCUGCAACUCGCCUACAUGAAGUCGGAAUCGCUAGUAAUCGCGGAUCAGCACGCCGCGGUGAAUACGUUCCCGGGCCUUGUACACACCGCCCGUCACACCACGAGAGUUUGUAACACCCGAAGUCGGUGAGGUA